CUUCCAUUCUGCCUGCAACACUCCUGCAUCCCAAACUAAUCCUGCAGCUCUCGUUUGAACUCCCAUACCCUCUGCCCUGGUCUUAGGGCAGGGUGACAGUGAUGCCAGAGCCAUCCACACACACACACAGAGCUGCACACACACAAUCUGCCUCGUGCAUUUUUGGCCACCUUCCCAAAUGCCAGCACGACAUGGCAGCUCUGUCCAUCUCCUUCCUUUCUUCUGUACAUCACUUGCAAAGUUUCUUAAUCUUAAGCCAAAGAAAAUAUCUUCUGUUCGUCCUUUAAUGAAGAUUAAUUUGUUCCAAGUGCAAAGCAAUCCCAGGCCUUCAAUGAGACUAAUGGCCUUGGCAACAAGCACAACAGCCAUGAGCCCUGGGGCUGUGCACACAGCUGCCAUGGGGACACAAGACAGGUUCCAGCUGAGUGGAGCCUUUCAGUAUGCAGGGCAGCACCAGUAACUCCAGCAGGGCUCUUUGUGGGACACCAGUUAAGUGAUGCUGAGAGGCUCCCUGGACAGCUCAUGCUUCUGCUAAUGCUGCAGCAUUGUCACUUUGGGCCAAAUUCCUUUGUUCUGAGCCCAGCUCCCUGCAGGGCAGCAGUUCCCAUCUAACCACCCCCUCCUUAAGCAGCAUGUACUGGUGAGACUUGGUUCCCAGCAGAAAACUCUUCCCUGCAGUGCUGAUUUAUUAAUAGGUGAGAGGAGCAGUUCUCACCCCUCUCUCCAGCUUACACACCAGAUAUCAAUUUGGCAGCCAGCAGCAAAUCCCAUUAGGGCAGUGAGAUACUUAAAGGCAACAGCAGCUCCUGGCCCAUUACAAGAAUGAGGGGAUGGACUCUGGUAAUGUACAUCUGAAACUGGUCACAUCCAACUGGAAGCAAGGAUCUUACUGAGACAAAUAUUAACAGUCUGCAGAGGCAGGGAUGGGAAUAAGCUCAUUCAUUAAAGGACUUUGUCUAUA